AUGGCCACUAUGUAUUUUAGUUGUCUAUAUGACUGUUACCAUACCAACAGAUGUAUGAUCGCAAUGAAGAGCAGACAUCAGGAGAUGAUUCAAGAACUGGAGGAGAACUUUCUCAUAUCAUCACGAGAAAAUCAGGCUCAUCAUGUUUAUGCUAAGCUAACAGAGGCUAAACAGCAGUUUGAACAAAUGGCAGAAGACAACCAAAAAAUUCUGGCAGAGUUUAAAGAAAGUCUUGACCAAACUGUGGAAGGGUCCAGGCAGAAGAGCCACGAGGAACAUGAGGAUGCACAGCAGAAAAUGGUGGAGCCACAGGUGGAGCCAAGUUCACAAGCCAGAUUACUCCAUCAUGAGGUCAUGCAGGUGGCUUUGGAGUGCAUCAGAGCAGGGGCUAAAUCCACUAUCAUUGGUUUCAGCCUGCAUGCUGGAGCUGUACAAUGA
ensembl:lncRNA